GCGGCACCCCCAUGCCCGGAUAGUGGAUUAGCCUCAAUGCUAGGCUUAUCUUCUUGGAACUUCAACCACCCGGUGUCAAUUAAGGCCUGCACUUUAUGUUUGAAGGCCAUACACUUCUCAGUUUAGUGACCCACGCCUCCCCCAUGAUAACUACAUUUGGCGUCGGCAUCAUAACCCCUGGGGUAUGGAGGCUGCAUAGGCAUCAUCGGACAUAUAACAACCAGACCCCUUUUGACGAAUGAGGUAAUAAUUCAGUGUAAGUUGUAGGGAUAGGGGUGAAAUGAACAAAAUUUCUUUCUUGGGUCCUUCUCGGAUAAGCGCCUUGACCCACAUUCAGAUUUGGA
rnacentral:lncRNA from 1 species